CCUACGGGUGGCAGCAGUGGGGAAUAUUGGACAAUGGGGGCAACCCUGAUCCAGCCAUGCCGCGUGUGUGAAGAAGGCCCUCGGGUUGUAAAGCACUUUCAGUGAGGAAGAACGCCUGGUGGUUAAUACCCAUCAGGAAAGACAUCACUCACAGAAGAAGCACCGGCUAACUCCGUGCCAGCAGCCGCGGUAAUACGGAGGUUGCGAGCGUUAAUCGGAAUUACUGGGCGUAAAGCGCGCGUAGGUGGCUUGAUAAGCCGGUUGUGAAAGCCCCGGGCUCAACCUGGGAACGGCAUCCGGAACUGUCAAGCUAGAGUGCAGGAGAGGAAGGUAGAAUUCCCGGUGUAGCGGUGAAAUGCGUAGAGAUCGGGAGGAAUACCAGUGGCGAAGGCGGCCUUCUGGACUGACACUGACACUGAGGUGCGAAAGCGUGGGUAGCAAACAGGAUUAGAGACGAGUAGUC
rnacentral:rRNA from 1 species